rnacentral:rRNA from 1 species
UGGGGAAUAUUGCACAAUGGGCGCAAGCCUGAUGCAGCGACGCCGCGUGCGGGAUGGAGGCCCUCGGGUUGUAAACCGCUUUUAUAGGGGGGCAAGCUAUGCCUGUGUGGUGUGGUGAGUGGACUUUAUGAAUAAGCACCGGCUAACUACGUGCCAGCAGCCGCGGUAAUACGUAGGGUGCAAGCGUUGUCCGGAUUUAUUGGGCGUAAAGGGCUCGUAGGCGGUUUGUUGCGUCUGGUGUGAAAGCUUACUGCUUAACGGUAGGUUGCGCUGGAUACGGGCAGGCUUGAGUGCAGUAGGGGAGACUGGAAUUCUCGGUGUAACGGUGGAAUGUGUAGAUAUCGGGAAGAACACCUAUGGCGAAGGCAGGUCUCUGGGCUGUUACUGACGCUGAGGAGCGAAAGCGUGGGGAGCGAACAGGAUUAGAUACCCUGGUAGUCCAUGCUGUAAACGGUGGACGCUGGAUGUGGGGCCCAUUUCCACGGGUUCUGUGUCGGAGCUAACGCGUUAAGCGUCCCGCCUGGGGAGUACGGCCGCAAGGUUA